rnacentral:rRNA from 1 species
AGUCACUGACAUUAGAUACCCGCGUAGUCCAGGGUGUAAACGCUGCAGACUUGGUGUUGGAGGCCCUUUGGGGGCAUUCAGUGCCGGAGAGAAGUUGUUAAGUCUGCUACUUGGGGAGUACGUCCGCAAGGAUGAAACUUAAAGGAAUUGGCGGGGGAGCACCGCAACGGGAGGAGCGUGCGGUUUAAUUGGAUUCAACACCGUAAAACCCACCAGGGAAGACUGUUACAUGAAGGCCGAGAUGAAGACUCUGCUAGAUUUUCAG